UGUGAACUCGAAGAGUAGGGCGGGACACGUGGUAUCCUGUCUGAAUAUGGGGGGACCAUCCUCCAAGGCUAAAUACUCCUGACUGACCGAUAGUGAACCAGUACCGUGAGGGAAAGGCGAAAAGAACCCCGGCGAGGGGAGUGAAAAAGAACCUGAAACCGUGUACGUACAAGCAGUGGGAGCACCUUCGGGUGUGACUGCGUACCUUUUGUAUAAUGGGUCAGCGACUUAUAUUCUGUAGCAAGGUUAACCGUAUAGGGGAGCCGCAGGGAAACCGAGUCUUAACUGGGCGUUAAGUUGCAGGGUAUAGACCCGAAACCCGGUGAUCUAGCCAUGGGCAGGUUGAAGGUUGGGUAACACUAACUGGAGGACCGAACCGACUAAUGUUGAAAAAUUAGCGGAUGACUUGUGGCUGGGGGUGAAAGGCCAAUCAAACCGGGAGAUAGCUGGUUCUCCCCGAAAGCUAUUUAGGUAGCGCCUCGUGAACUCAUCUUCGGGGGUAGAGCACUGUUUCGGCUAGGGGGUCAUCCCGACUUACCAACCCGAUGCAAACUACGAAUACCGAAGAAUGUUAUCACGGGAGACACACGGCGGGUGCUAACGUCCGUCGUGAAGAGGGAAACAACCCAGACCGCCAGCUAAGGUCCCAAAGUCAUGGUUAAGUGGGAAACGAUGUGGGAAGGCACAGACAGCCAGGAUGUUGGCUUAGAAGCAGCCAUCAUUUAAAGAAAGCGUAAUAGCUCACUGGUCGAGUCGGCCUGCGCGGAAGAUGUAACGGGGCUAAACCAUGCACCGAAGCUGCGGCAGCGACACUAUGUGUUGUUGGGUAGGGGAGCGUUCUGUAAGCCUGCGAAGGUGACCUGUGAGGGUUGCUGGAGGUAUCAGAAGUGCGAAUGCUGACAUAAGUAACGAUAAAGCGGGUGAAAAGCCCGCUCGCCGGAAGACCAAGGGUUCCUGUCCAACGUUAAUCGGGGCAGGGUGAGUCGACCCCUAAGGCGAGGCCGAAAGGCGUAGUCGAUGGGAAACAGGUUAAUAUUCCUGUACUUGGUGUUACUGCGAAGGGGGGACGGAGAAGGCUAUGUUAGCCGGGCGACGGUUGUCCCGGUUUAAGCAUGUAGGCUGGUUGUCCAGGCAAAUCCGGAUAAUCAAGGCUGAGGUGUGAUGACGAGGCACUACGGUGCUGAAGUAACAAAUGCCCUGCUUCCAGGAAAAGCCUCUAAGCAUCAGGUAACAUUAANNNNNNNNNNNNNNNNNNNNNNNNNNNNNNNNNNNNNNNNNNNNNNNNNNNNNNNNNNNNNNNNNNNNNNNNNNNNNNNNNNNNNNNNNNNNNNNUUAAAUCGUACCCCAAACCGACACAGGUGGUCAGGUAGAGAAUACCAAGGCGCUUGAGAGAACUCGGGUGAAGGAACUAGGCAAAAUGGUGCCGUAACUUCGGGAGAAGGCACGCUGGUGUGUAGGUGAAGUCCCUGCGGAUGGAGCUGAGACCAGUCGAAGAUACCAGCUGGCUGCAACUGUUUAUUAAAAACACAGCACUGUGCAAACACGAAAGUGGACGUAUACGGUGUGACGCCUGCCCGGUGCCGGAAGGUUAAUUGAUGGGGUUAUCCGUAAGGAGAAGCUCUUGAUCGAAGCCCCGGUAAACGGCGGCCGUAACUAUAACGGUCCUAAGGUAGCGAAAUUCCUUGUCGGGUAAGUUCCGACCUGCACGAAUGGCGUAAUGAUGGCCAGGCUGUCUCCACCCGAGACUCAGUGAAAUUGAACUCGCUGUGAAGAUGCAGUGUACCCGCGGCAAGACGGAAAGACCCCGUGAACCUUUACUAUAGCUUGACACUGAACAUUGAGCCUUGAUGUGUAGGAUAGGUGGGAGGCUUUGAAGCGUGGACGCCAGUCUGCGUGGAGCCAACCUUGAAAUACCACCCUUUAAUGUUUGAUGUUCUAACGUUGGCCCCUUACCGGGGUUGCGGACAGUGUCUGGUGGGUAGUUUGACUGGGGCGGUCUCCUCCCAAAGCGUAACGGAGGAGCACGAAGGUUAGCUAAUCCUGGUCGGACAUCAGGAGGUUAGUGCAAUGGCAUAAGCUAGCUUGACUGCGAGCGUGACGGCGCGAGCAGGUGCGAAAGCAGGUCAUAGUGAUCCGGUGGUUCUGAAUGGAAGGGCCAUCGCUCAACGGAUAAAAGGUACUCCGGGGAUAACAGGCUGAUACCGCCCAAGAGUUCAUAUCGACGGCGGUGUUUGGCACCUCGAUGUCGGCUCAUCACAUCCUGGGGCUGAAGUAGGUCCCAAGGGUAUGGCUGUUCGCCAUUUAAAGUGGUACGCGAGCUGGGUUUAGAACGUCGUGAGACAGUUCGGUCCCUAUCUGCCGUGGGCGCUGGAGAAUUGAGGGGGGCUGCUCCUAGUACGAGAGGACCGGAGUGGACGCAUCACUGGUGUUCGGGUUGUCAUGCCAAUGGCACUGCCCGGUAGCUAAAUGCGGAAGAGAUAAGUGCUGAAAGCAUCUAAGCACGAAACUUGCCCCGAGAUGAGUUCUCCCUGAGACUUUAAGUCUCCUGAAGGAACGUUGAAGACGACGACGUUGAUAGGCCGGGUGUGUAAGCGCAGCGAUGCGUUGAGCUAACCGGUACUAAUGAACCGUGAGGCUUAACCUU
rnacentral:rRNA from 1 species